rnacentral:lncRNA from 1 species
GGUGUACGAAAAUGACAAUGCUCAAGGGCGAUAUCUCUGCAGUUCCAAUGUCCUUGAUAAUCAUGAAGUAGCUGCCCUGCUUGCAAACCGCUAUCCUUCAUUGCCCAUCCCAAAUAGGUUAGUUCUAUUUAUGGUAUCAUAUUGUAUAUAUCAUUGUAAAUUACAAGCUAAGGUUCUAGAGGCUGAAGUUUCCUUGUUAUGAAACUAGAAUCUCGCAAAAUUUGGAAAAGAAUGAUGUGUCUAAGAAUACACAAAACUUUAAGAACAAUUUGAGACACUUAUUUGUAUGCAAGUAAAAUCUUUCAGAAUAUAAGGGAUUUAAGAAACAACUGAAGAACCAUGAACUGAUGUCUAUAACCUACUUUUUGAUGAUUUAUUUGAAAAAUAAAAUAAAAGAAGCAAACAAUUUAACAUCUAUGAUUUAUUCUUUGACUAUUGUCUUCGUGUAAAUAUAUAAAUUCUUACUAGGUAAUCUUUCCUUUGCAUUAUAAGAAGUUGACUUGUGUUCAGGUUCCACAAUUACCAUGCUGAGAUACCACGUUACCAGUUUGACACAUCCAAACUACGUGACUUGGGGUUUAAAUUCAAGGGUACUGAAGAGAUGUUUGAUGAUUGCAUUGCAUCGCUGAGGACACAAGGCUAUCAGAUCUAAUGAUUUAAGUACCUUCUCGAUUUGCCAACAUUACUUACUAGAUAAUAAAAGCUUUAAACAAGUCGUAUGAACCAUUUUAAUAAAUCUCUGUGUCAAGAACUUUUAAGUACAGGACAUGCUAUGGGCGCCAAUAUAUCAUUCUCUUAUAUUAAUAAACUACAUUACUUUGGCUUGCUUCUUGUUACAUUCAAUUAAAUAUUACAAGAAAGUAUCACUAGUAAGCAUGGGUAUAAUUCUAGAAGAGCUGAGAGUGUUCUACUUGAUCUCACAAGGGACAAGAUGCAGUGCAACAUUUGACAUGCAUAGCACGCUGAUCUGUUCUGUGUUGGUUUGUGCAUCGUCAUUUUGCCUAAAUUGUACAUUCAGAUUAUUUCAUAUUUGAUAAUGGGGUUUAACGUCAUUAGGAACACUGUGAUGAUGUAGCUAUUGUAUAAUUCGGAACAACCAUUUCCUUUCUGCAAAGACACAGAAACUAUUUGUGUAGCUCACGUAAUUGUCUUAUGGUGCAUCUGUGCACAGAGGCCUAUAAUAUGGUGCAUCUAUGACAUUUACCUAGACAGUAAUAUGCUAAACUAAUGACUAUUUUCUUGAACACCUUUCCAACUUAAUGAAGAACAAGAAAAUGCUUGAGAAUUUUAUAACUUUGAAAGAACAUAGCAUGAGCAACUCAGUUAUUACUUGUUUAUCAAAUUCAAGAUAGUAAUCAAUACAUAAGGUGAUGUAAAGAAUGAUCCAAGAUUAGAUCCAAAACACAGAAAUCAUGAGAAAUAAUUUUACUAGUUUGUCAGAGAACUUCAAUCAGGUAUAUAUCUGACACAAUCAGCCUCAUGACAUCCAUAACCACAGCCUUAUCAGAAUUCUGAUCAAAAUUAACUAGAACCUUUGAUAAUUGCUCAUACGAGAUGCAUCGGUUUACUUAAAAACAAUAUUUUUAUCACGAGCACAAAAGAAAAAAGAAAAAUGCAAACAUACUACAUUAUCAGUGAUAGGGAACAAAUUGGAGGAUGCCCAAUGAACAACGAGAAAAAACAGAAAACAGUAUGUACCAAUUACCCAAGGAAGAGAUCAAAAUGGUUCUUACGAGUUCUUUUUCCUGACGAUGGCCUUCAGAACCAUUGGCGAGAAUGGUCCUGUCUUGUCCAAAUGCACUCCAACAGCUUUUUCCAUCAAGAACAAAACAUCUCCCUCCUGCAGCCUCUUGACAACAUUCUAAGCUUCCUUCACCCCCUUCUUUUUACAUAAUCCAUCGACCAAACUGAUAGAAAUUAAGCGAAGAAGAUAGAAAGAUAGAAAUUAUAGAAGAAACUAUGAAAUGUAUAAGAUAUAAUUGCCUAAUACAUUUUGAUAGUGAGUUCUUGACAGUCAUUUAUACACACUCAGUAGGGAGGUUAUACA